CCUACGGGAGACAGCAGUCGGGAAUAUUGCGCAAUGGAGGAAACUCUGACGCAGUGACGCCGCGUGCAGGAAGAAGGUUUUAGGAUUGUAAACUGCUUUAGACAGGGAAGAAAAAAGACAGUACCUGUAGAAUAAGCUCCGGCUAACUACGUGCCAGCAGCCGCGGUAAUACGUAGGGAGCAAGCGUUAUCCGGAUUUAUUGGGUGUAAAGGGUGCGUAGGCGGAGAAGUAAGUUAGAGGUGAAAUGCCUCGGCUUAACUGGGGAACUGCAACUAAUACUGUUGCUCUAGAGAAUUGGAGAGGUAGGCGGAAUGUAUGGUGUAGCGGUGAAAUGCUUAGAGAUUAUAAAGAACACCGAUUGCGAAGGCAGCUUACUAAUCUAUAUCUGACGUUGAGGCACGAAAGCGUGGGGAGCAAACAGGAUUAGAUACCCUUGUAGUC
rnacentral:rRNA from 1 species